UACGUAGGUGGCAAGCGUUGUCCGGAAUUACUGGGUGUAAAGGGCGUGUAGGCGGGAAUGUAAGUCAGUUGUGAAAUUCCGGGGCUUAACCUCGGAGCUGCAUCUGAAACUAUAUUUCUUGAGUGCUGGAGAGGAAAGCGGAAUUCCUAGUGUAGCGGUGAAAUGCGUAGAUAUUAGGAGGAACACCAGUGGCGAAGGCGGCUUUCUGGACAGUAACUGACGCUGAGGCGCGAAAGCGUGGGGAGCAAACAGG
rnacentral:rRNA from 1 species